rnacentral:rRNA from 1 species
AUUGAACGCUGGCGGCAGGCCUAACACAUGCAAGUCGAGCGAGCGGCGGACGGGUGAGUAAUGUCUGGGAAACUGCCUGAUGGAGGGGGAUAACUACUGGAAACGGUAGCUAAUACCGCAUACCAUCAGAUGUGCCCAGAUGGGAUUAGCUAGUAGGUGGGGUAACGGCUCACCUAGGCGACGAUCCCUAGCUGGUCUGAGAGGAUGACCAGCCACAAUGGAACUGAGACACGGACAAGACUCUUACGUGAGGCAGCAGUGGGGAAUAUUGCAAGAUGGGCGCAAGCCUGAUACAGCCAUGCCGCGUGUGUGAAGAAGGCCUUCGGGUUGUAAAGCACUUUCAGCGGUGAGGCGUUAACCGCAGAAGAAGCACCGGCUAACUCCGUGCCAGCAGCCGCGGUAAUAC